ensembl:snRNA U6 U6 spliceosomal RNA
GUGCUCCCAUCCACAACACAUAUACUAAAAUUGGAAUGAUACAGAGAUUAGUAUGGCCUCUGCACAAGGAUCACACACAAAUUCAUGAAGCCUUGCGUAUUUUU